UACGGGAGGCAGCAGUGGGGAAUCUUGCGCAAUGCGCGAAAGCGUGACGCAGCAACGCCGCGUGAGGGAAGAAGGCCUUCGGGUUGUAAACCUCUUUCAGUUGGGAGGAAGCCACGGCGGUUAAUACCCGUCUGUGGUGACGGUACCUUCAGAAGAAGCCCCGGCUAACUACGUGCCAGCAGCCGCGGUAAUACGUAGGGGGCAAGCGUUGUCCGGAAUCAUUGGGCGUAAAGCGCGUGUAGGCGGCUUGGUAAGUCCGCUUUGAAAGCCCGGGGCUCAACCCCGGGAGGCGGGUGGAUACUGUCAAGCUUGAGUCCGGAAGAGGGGAGUGGAAUUCCCGGUGUAGCGGUGAAAUGCGCAGAUAUCGGGAGGAACACCAAUGGCGAAGGCAGCUCGCUGGGACGUGACUGACGCUGAGACGGGAAAGCGUGGGGAGCAAACAGGAUUAGAUACCCUGGUAGUCCACGCCGUAAACGAUGGGCACUAGGUGUGGGAGGUGUCGACUCCUCUCGUGCCGAAGCUAACGCAU
rnacentral:rRNA from 1 species